CGCCCGUCAAACCACGGGAGCUGGUAAUGCCCGAAGUCGGUUUUGUUAACUACGGAAACAGCCGCCUAAGGCAGGACUGGUGACUGGGGUUAAGUCGUAACAAGGUAUCCCUACGAGAACGUGGGGAUGGAUCACCUCCUUUCUACGGAGUACAUAACAGUUAAAAAUUUAACUGAUACUUUAAUAGACUAUUAAUUUUAAAUAAUAAUUUUAAUAACCUGAAAGUCAUGACAUUGUAAUAGUCCAAUGGUAUAUCUAGUUUUGAGAGAACUUUCUCUCAUAUGUUCUUUGAAAACUGAAUAGUAAAGAUAAAUUAAUAUAACAACGACAUCAAAAAAAACAAUAUAGUCAAUUUGUUUUGUGAUACCGAGUUAAUUAUUAGCAAUAAUAAUUUAUUAAAAUGUCUUUGAAUACAUCAACAAUAGGAAAAUACAUAACUUUUAAAUAAGUAAGAGUUUGUGGUGGAUGCCUUGGGUCUGGAAGUCGAUGAAGGACGUGAUUACCUGCGAUAAGCCUCGUGGAGCUGGAUAUGCGCUACGAUACGGGGAUUUCCGAAUGGGGAAACCUAGUUAGAGUAAUGUCUAACUGCAAGAUAAUGAAUCUAUAGUUAUCUUUGACGAGAGACGUUGUGAACUGAAACAUCUUAGCAGCAACAGAAAAAGAAAAUAAAUAAUGAUUCCAUUAGUAGCGGCGAGCGAAAGUGGAAGAGCCCAAACCAACAUAUGUUGGGGUUGUAGGACUAUCUACAUGAAGUUACAAAAUUUUGUUAUAGCAGAAUUAGUUGGGAAACUAAAGCAUAGAGGGUGAAACUCCCGUAUGUGAAAUGGCAAAAUCUUCUGAUAGUAUCCUGAGUAGGGCGGGGCACGUGAAACCCUGUCUGAAUCUGCCGGGACCAUCCGGUAAGGCUAAAUACUAACCAGACACCGAUAGUGAACUA
rnacentral:sRNA from 2 species